UACGUAGGGGGCAAGCGUUGUCCGGAAUCAUUGGGCGUAAAGCGUACGUAGGCGGCUUUGUAAGUUAGAGGUGAAAGCCCAGGGCUCAACCCUGGAACUGCCUUUAAGACUGCAGAGCUUGAAUCGCGGAGAGGUGAGUGGAAUUCCGAGUGUAGAGGUGAAAUUCGUAGAUAUUCGGAAGAACACCAGUGGCGAAGGCGGCUCACUGGACGCGUAUUGACGCUGAGGUACGAAAGCGUGGGGAGCAAACAGG
rnacentral:rRNA from 1 species